CCUACGGGGAGCAGCAGUGGGGAAUAUUGGACAAUGGGGGAAACCCUGAUCCAGCCACGCCGCGUGAGUGAAGAAGUAUUUAGGUACGUAAAGCUCUAUCAGCAGGAAAGAAAAUGACGGUACCUGACUCAGAACCACAGGCUAACUACGUGCCAGCAGCCGCGGUAAUACGUAGGGGGCAAGCGUUAUCCGGAUUUACUGGGUGUAAAGGGAGCGUAGUGGGAAGCGCAAGUCUGGAGUGAAAUGCCGGGGCCCAACCCCGGUACUGCCCUGGAAACUGUGGAGCUGGAGUGCAGGAGAGGUAAGCGGAAUUCCUGGUGUAGCGGUGAAAUGCGUAGAUAUCAGGAGGAACACCGGCGGCGAAGGCGGCGUACUGGACUGUAACUGACGUUGAGGCUCGAAGGCGUGGGGAGCAAACAGGAUUAGAUACCCCAGUAGUC
rnacentral:rRNA from 1 species